UUAAUAAAGACCUUUUCAAAAUCACCACAGAAAAACAAAAAUUCAACACAACUCACUGAUUUGCUCCGUAACAGUUGAGUCUGCUGAACACGACCUAUGACUAUAUCUAGCAAGCACGCUAUCAACACCAUAAUCGAUAUCAUAAAUCCUUAUAUUCAAUAACAUUUAUCAUGAUCAUGAAUUAUAUAACUAAUAAUCUCACGCUGUUUAUUAGGUCUGUGUGCACCAUACCUUUAGUAGUCCGUGACUUUGAUCUAACGGAAUAAACCAAUCAGAUACAGCUGAGUGAGUGAUUGCGCUUUUAGAUACAGGCGUAAACUAUCACCAUCCAUGGUGGAAUUAUAGAAGGUAAAUUAUUGCGCGCAUCAUGAUGGCAAAGGAUGGGAGGACAUAUCUUGUCAACAAAUCAUGAAGGGUCUAUUUAUAAAAUAACACUGUAUGCUCCAAAACAGUAAACACAGCCAUAUUAGAUUUUCAUAAAAUGGGUCCUCUCAUGAUUGGCUGUCCGCUCCUCAUUACUUUUAGGCUAUUGCAUAUUCAGGAAUAGCUCUCCUUCUAUAUUUUCACCAUGUCACCGUCAUGAUCUGUGAAAAACAAAAUAAAAAAUGGACGACGAGACAUUUCAAUGGCGAACGAUGUCAAAGACUUGGAAUUAGCGGUCCUGAGGGCUAAGUUCGAUGUAUUAAAAAAUAUCAUUGUUCGGUUCUCAAGGUCGCAGCCGCUUGUAGGAUUAAUGACGACAUAGCUGCCCGCGCCAUAUGCAUGCCUCGCACCAACGGAAGAAAAACGUACUAAAUUUUAAUCAUUUUCAAAUUCAUUAUGGCCAUACGUUGGCAAAAAAGUCGAUACAGCCCGAACAACUGUGGAUACCGGCAUGGAGAACGUGGAGGAUGCGGAGGUCACGAAGGACACGGAGGCCGCGGAGGGCGUAGAAACAUCAAAAUAAAAAAAAUUUAUAUUUUUUGAUACUUUUAAAUAAAAAAUUAUCCUUGACAAUAGAUUUGAUUAAUAGAUUUAAUAAUUCUCAAUCCAUCCUCAUUAUGCUCCUUCGCCUACAUAAUCUUCUUAACGAAAUCCAACAGGUCGUUUUUCACAGAUACAUAAUGGUCGCGUUCAGCAGAUUCAUGAGCGCUCGCUGCUAUUGGAUGAUGAAUACACCAAUAGCUGCAAAGAUUCGCGUAUUACAAUUCGCACAAUCAUCAUGACUUCGCAAUUACGUAAAACUAAAUAGAAAAUUUAGAAUGCUUGCGAAGAAUGACUUUGAGAAAAAUUUAUUUAAGUUAAUGAAUAAUGCAGUAUUUGGCAAAAUCAUGGAAAACAUGCACAAUCGCAUCGAUGUAAAAUUAUUAACAUAAUGGGAUGGACGAUAUGGCGCAAAGGCAAUUAUCGCGAUGUCGAAUUUUAAUACACAGCAAAAAUACAUGGCAGAAGUGUAUUUUCUGAAAAUCUGAUAGCAAUUGGAAUUUGUAUACUUG